GAUGAACGCUGGCGGCGUGCCUAAUACAUGCAAGUCGAGCGAACAGAUGAGGAGCUUGCUUCUCUGCCGUUACCGACGGACGGGUGAGUAACACGUGGAUAACCGACAUAUAAGACUGGGGUAACUACGGGAGCGCUGAGAUAAUACAGGAUAAUAUAUUGAACCGCAUGGUUCAUUAGUGCAAGCGGGUUUUGAUGACACUAGUUGAUGUAUCCGGGCCGCAUUAGCUAGUUGGUAAGGUAAAGGCUUACCAAGGCAACGAUGCGUAGCUGACCUGAGAGGAUGAUCGGCCACACUGGAACUGAGACACGGUCCAGACUCCUACGGGAGGCAGCAGUAGGGAAUCUUCCACAAUGGGCGAAAGCCUGAUGGAGCAACGCCGCGUGAGUGAAGAAGGUCUUCGGAUCGUAAAACUCUGUUAGUAGGGAAGAACGAAUGUGUGAGUAACUAUGCACGUCUUGACGGUACCUAAUCAGAAAGCAACGGCUAACUACGUG
rnacentral:rRNA from 1 species